UGUGACAACAACAACAACAACGUCUCCAGACAUUGCCGAAUGUCCUCUGGCAGCAAAAUCACGCCACGUGAAGAGAAGCCUCAGGAGGUGUGUUCCUGCUAAUUCCACACUCAGCUCAAGUAGCCAGCAGAAACAUCUGCCUAUAACCCCUUCCACCCCAGCCUGAAGAACAGCUGGAACCAUAUCCUGUCACACCGUUUGAAGGAGUCCCCAGCCCUGGGUAACCUCACUCCCUGCUCCAAAACCUCCUUUUCCUCACCCCAAUCCAUGCUGGGAAUCAGAUUUGCACCCAGGAAGCUGGAGUUGGACAGAGAGAUGCUGGCCUCUGUGUUGACCGUUGCUUGACCAGGGAUCACAUGAGCAAAAGCAUCAGGCGAAGCCAGUUUGAAGCGGGAACCGAGCUCACUUCUGGAGAACAGGAUGAGAAGAUAUAGCUCCUGAG